rnacentral:rRNA from 1 species
UGCCCUCUGGGCUCUCUGGUGAAUCAUGAUAACUGCUCGAAUCGCAGGGCCUCGUGCCGGCGAUGGUUCAUUCAAAUUUCUUCCCUAUCAACUUUCGAUGUUUGGGUAUUGGCCAAACAUGGUUACAACGGGUAACGGAGGGUUAGGGCUCGACCCCGGAGAAGGAGCCUGAGAGACGGCUACUACAUCCAAGGAAGGCAGCAGGCGCGCAAAUUACCCAAUCCCGACACGGGGAGGUAGUGACAAUAAAUACUGAUACAGGGCUCUUUCGGGUCUUGUAAUUGGAAUGAGUACAAUUUAAAUCCCUUAACGAGGAACAAUUGGAGGGCAAGUCUGGUGAACGUUUGCUGGUGCCAGAGAGAGCCAACCCUCCUGUGGGCGACGGAAGAUGGCUAGUCGCGCGCUCGAUCAGUGACGGGUGAGCGCCGGCGAGACAACCUGGAUCGGGGAAGGCUAAGGGCCCCAAGAGGGCCUAUCGCUGAUCCCGAGCAGAGCCCCGCGGCCAGCGUGCUGAAGGGCCUGUGUAGAGCGCGCCAAGGUGUCGGUCCAGGGCGGGCGAGGGCGUUCCCUCCCUCCCCUCCCAGGGCUUAAGGUACGUGCCAAUCCCCUGCGAAAGCAGGGCCCUGCGGAAUAGCACCCGUCGUGCGAAGCCGUCAGGGGAGGACUCCUACCUAGGCGAUGGCGCCUGGGUAGGUGGCCUCUGUGACGAUAGUGGCCAGCAGCCGCGGUAAUUCCAGCUCCAAUAGCGUAUAUUAAAGUUGUUGUGGUUAAAAAGCUCGUAGUUGAACCUUGGGCCUGGCUGGCCGGUCCGCCUCACCGCGUGUACUGGUCCGGCCGGGCCUUUCCCUCUGUGGAACCCCAUGCCCUUCACUGGGCGUGGCGGGGAAACAGGACUUUUACUUUGAAAAAAUUAGAGUGCUCCAGGCAGGCCUAUGCUCGAAUACAUUAGCAUGGAAUAAUAGAAUAGGACGUGCGGUUCUAUUUUGUUGGUUUCUAGGACCGCCGUAAUGAUUAAUAGGGACAGUCGGGGGCAUCAGUAUUCAAUUGUCAGAGGUGAAAUUCUUGGAUCUAUUGAAGACUAACUACUGCGAAAGCAUUUGCCAAGGAUGUUUUCAUUAAUCAGGAACGAAAGUUAGGGGAUCGAAGACGAUCAGAUACCGUCGUAGUCUUAACCAUAAACUAUGCCGACUAGGGAUCGGGCGAUGUUAUUUUUUGACUCGCUCGGCACCUUACGAGAAAUCAAAGUGCUUGGGCUCCA